rnacentral:tRNA from 1 species
GCACGUGUAGCUCAGUGGUAGAGCGCGCGCUUAGCAUGCACGAGGUUGUGGGUUCAAUCCCCAAUACAUUCA